GAUGAACGCUGACAGAAUGCUUAACACAUGCAAGUCAACUUGAAAUUCGGUUUGGGUGGCGGACGGGUGAGUAACGCGUAAAGAACUUGCCUCACAGCUAGGGACAACAUUUGGAAACGAAUGCUAAUACCUGAUAUUAUGAUUUUAGGGCAUCCUAGAAUUAUGAAAGCUAUAUGCGCUGUGAGUGAGCUUUGCGUCCCAUUAGCUAGUUGGAGAGGUAACGGCUCACCAAGGCGAUGAUGGGUAGCCGGCCUGAGAGGGUGAACGGCCACAAGGGGACUGAGACACGGCCCUAACUCCUACGGGAGGCAGCAGUGGGGAAUAUUCGACAAUGGACCAAGAGUCUGAUCCAGCAAUUCUGUGUGCACGAUGAAGUUUUUCGGAAUGUAAAGUGCUUUCAGUUGGGAAGAAAAAAAUGACGGUACCAACAGAAGAAGUGACGGCUAAAUACGUG
rnacentral:rRNA from 1 species